ACGUAGGAUGCAAGCGUUGUCCGGAAUUAUUGGGCGUAAAGAGUUCGUAGGCGGCAUGUCAAGUCUGGUGUUAAAGCCCGAGGCUCAACCUCGGAUCAGCAUUGGAUACUGGCAAGCUAGAAUGCAGUAGAGGCAAGGGGAAUUCCCAGUGUAGCGGUGAAAUGCGUAGAUAUUGGGAGGAACACCAGUGGCGUAAGCGCCUUGCUGGGCUGUUAUUGACGCUGAGGAACGAAAGCCAGGGGAGCAAAUGG
rnacentral:rRNA from 1 species